rnacentral:tRNA from 1 species
GCUCGUGUAUAGCAAAGGCUAGCGCGUAAGACUGUUAAUCUUGAGGCUGCUGGUUCGAUUCCAGCCAUGAACG